UUCUCGAAGUAGUCGUAACCUGGUCCCAUUAACCCACCCCAUGUCACUAGGUUUUUUAUCACGAUCUCUUGUUCGGAUUUGUCGGUGAGUAUAGCGCUUAUGAUCGAAUCUGUGCCAGCGCUUUUCACCGAUCCUGUUUGGAUGUAGAAUGUGUAGACGCAUUGUGGUUCACGAUCCUGCGAAAUUGAGAAAACAAAUAAUUAAUAGAAGUUUACAGCCUAAUUUAUAACGUAAAUUAUUGUCGCUGGCCAAAAGAAUUAAUCGUAAUCGAGGAAUGAUGAUGAAAAUGGGGAAAACUUACGGCGAAUGCAACGACAGAGACGGUGGCGAUAAGGAGGAUACAGAGGAGGAGAACGUCACAGCGAGCCAUAGUUGGUGAUAUGAAUGUAAGAAAUUUAGAUUUGAUCUUUUAGUAUAAACUGCAUCUACUUCAACAUUUUAGGAGCUAAAGGCUACUAUUUAUAGAGUUCGAGACUUUUAGAUUUCAAUUAUGACAGUAGUACAAUUAAAGAAAACUAAUGAAUCCAAUAUAAAUAAUUUUUAUAGUAGUAUUUUUACGAAAUGAAGAAAAUAUUAUAUAAUGCAUGAAACCGCAUAAUAAUUAAUAGGAAAUUUAAGAAAAUUAUAUAUGUUAUGACAAACAUAUAAUGAUGUGAUUAUUAUAUAAGUUUGCUAUAUUUUUUUAUUGAAUAGAAAGUUGCUAUGUAAAUUAAGUAGAUGUUUAGCAAAAUAUAAUGAUAAAAGAACUGUCUUUUCACUCUCUUUUUUAUAAAUAAUAUGAAACAAGUAUAGUAUGGUAUUGUUUGUUUUAUUCUACAUGAUAUAAAAACGUGCAAAAUGCUACCUUUCGUAGUAGUUAACUAGUUAUAACCUGGCCCAAUUUUUGGUUCGUUGUGAUGAUUGAAGGGUAUGUUAAAGGAUCCUACAACAAGUACGUGAUUAACUUGGCGGACUGAUUACGAAACAAAUCCAAAUUUAUCCGUUUAAAUAAUUUGCUAUCACACGUUCACAAUACGACAAAGAACACGUUCAAUGAUUCAAUUUCAAUCCCAAUUCCCCAUCGCAUAUAUAUAAGAAUCAACAUCACAUGCCACACACGUAAAUUAAUAUCUAGCUAAUAUGAGCCUUAAAAAUAUUGCUUUAUUAAACUAUUGCUUUACUAGAUUUAGCCAAAGAUCGGAUCUGAUAGCAAUAUUAAACUGGAAAAAUCUUUUAGUGCGUUGAUCUUCUUUUUUGUUCGUAAUCAAUGGACCGAAUUGAUCACGUGGUAGUAGGAUCCUUUAACAUACUACUCAUCACAACGAACCAAAAAAUGGGGUCAGGUUAAAACUACAACGAAAGGUAGCAUUUUCCACGUUUUUAUAUGAUAGAGAAUAAAACAAAAGAAUACCAAACUAUAUUUGUUUCGUAGUAUGGAAAAACAGUUCUUUUAUCUUUCUAUUUUUUUAAGAUAAUUAACUUAAUUAUAUAGUAAAUUUAUAUAUUUACAUAAACAAAACAAAACAUAUAUAUUUCCUAUUAUUUUCCCAUUAAUUAUUAUGUGAUCUAAAAAAUUAAUUAAUGCAUUAUUCAUUGUAAAAAUAGUAAUAUAUCAAAAUUUAUUUUUUUCGGCUAUUCAUCUGAUUAAGUUAUGUUUUAUUUGGUGAAAAGAUGAUUUUGAGGAACCACUCUUACCGAUACUGUCUGACUUAUAUGAGAGAAUAAGAUUUAUUGCAUUUUGAACCUUUUUUCUAAGAUAAUCGGCUCAGAUAUUUAACACCCGAAAUAUAUGAACAAUGCUGAAAAACUCAAAAGUUUUUUUUAAAUCUGGCAAAUGUCUAAAUCCAAAACGAAAGCAAGCCAAUCCAUCGGAUUCUCGAUCAUUUCGAUUAAGUUAUAUCAAAAUUUAUCUAUAUUGGACUGGAUAGUAUUUUUUUUUUUAACUGCACUAGCAUCAUAACAUGUUGAGAUACAUGGAGGAAAAAAAUAUAGUUACAUCAUGUAGCAUACAUGAUAUAAUCCACAACGGACCAGAAAAUGCCAUCACACAUUACAAUUGAAAUCUCAAGUCUCAACUCUGUUACUAGUGUCGCUGGGCAAAAGAAUCAGAAUCCAAGGAUAAUGAUGACAUUUAGGGAACCUACAAGGCGAAUGCAACGACAGAGACGGUGGCAAUCAGGAGGAGAGAGUGGAGGAGAACGUCACAACGAGCAAUAUAUAGUUUGGUGAUAUGAGUGUAAGAAAUGAGAUUUGAUCUGUCCAACUAUAUAUAAAGUUUGAGACUUGGGAUUAACAUGCUCAAUCAUAUCAUUUCCUUCGCAUAUAUUUUCGUCCUCUUAUCUUACAGCUACACCUAUGUUUUUAAAUAAAGACAAGUACAUUAAAAUACAUUUUUUUUCAAACUCAUAUAACACUAUGAGGCAUUUUUAGCUAUUAGAUAACUUUUUUACUAUUUAUUCCGAAAUUGUCUCUAGUGAUCACGAUAAGAUAAAAGUGGAUGCAAACUCGUGGAUACUGGAUUAAACCCAUAUUUUAAAAACAAUAAUUAUUUUUCCCUUUCUGUCUUAUUUUGUAUUUUUCUGUAUUAUGCAAGAUAUAAGACAAUUUUUUUUGUUAGAAUGAAUUCUAAUUUUAUUUUGUCAUUAUUUUAAAAUCCAUUAUGCUAUAUUUUAUUUAUCAAACAAAAAACUUUUCAAAUAACAUUUAUAAAAAAUUCAAAAAAUCAGAAAUUUCUUUAGAUAUUCAUUCACAAAACAAGAUGUAGAUGAUGCAUGAUGGACAUAUAACAUGGACACGAUUGCGUGGAUAUGUCUUCAUUUAUAUAUUCGAUGUGGAUAUACAUUUUACAUUGUCCAUAACAUGGACAUGAUCAUGUGGAUAUGUUAUAGACAAUGUAAAAUGUAUAUUUAUAUCGAAUAUAUCAAUAAAAACAUAUCCACACAAUCAUGCUCAUGUUGUGGACAAUGUAAAAUGUAUAUCCACAUCGAAUAUAUCAAUUAAAACUAAUUCAUGUAAUCGUGUCAAUGUUAUAUGUCCUUCAUACAUCAUCCACAUCUUAUUUUGUGAAUGAAUAUCUAAAGAGACUUCUGAUUUUUUUUUAAAAAAAUUUAUAAAGAUUAUUUGAAAAGUUUUUUGUUUGAUAAAUAAACUAUAGCAUAAAGGAUCUUAAAACAAUGACAAAAUUAAAUUAUAAUUCAUUCUAAUCAAAAAUAUAGUUUUAUAUCUUCUAUAAUAUAAAAAAUACAAAAAAAGAGAUGGGGAAAAUAAUUAAUGCUUUUAAAUUUGGGUUUAAUCCGUUAUCCACUAGUUCACAUCCACUUUUAUUGUGAACAUCAGGGAUAAUUUCGGAUUAAAAUGGUGUGAACAGUAAAAAAAAUAAAAAAAUCACCUAAAAGCUUAAAGUGCCUAUCUUGUAAGAAAAAGUCAAGAAAAUGCCUUUCAGUGUAAUAAACUCUUUUAAAUAUUUCUAAAAUUUAUCGUAUAUAUUGUGUAAUUUUUUGUACACUUUAUAAAAAGUAUUGUUUCUGAUUUUUUUAAAAAAAAAAGAAAAACAAGUUUAUUGUUGCUGUAAGUUUAUUCUUAGCAAACAAGUAUUGUUUCUUUUUACAAGUUUGUUCUCGGCAAAAAAGGUUUUUUGUUGAUGAGUUAAUAACAGUCAACCAUGAUUUUUAGGAAAUAAUAAAACUGAAUAAUUAAUAAAUGUAUUGAUGUUUAACAAUAUAUAUAUAUAUAUAUUUUAUUUUAUAUAUAAAACUUGGCCAACUUUCUCCAGCUGCUUACCACAUCAGCAUUGGAGAAAGCGCCACCUGUCCAUCUAAAAUCUUAAUAAAAUAAAUAAUUAAUUACAUUUAAAGAAAAACAUUUAAUUAAUCACAUUUAAAGAAAAACAUUAAAGCACAUUAAUAAAUAUUAAUAUGUAUAUGAACAAAAAUAUUUAAAUAAAUAAAAUUUAAAUUUAUUUUAAAUAUAUCAAUAAAAUAUAUAUAACAAAAAAAACUCAAAAUGGUAAAUUUUUCUAUGAAAUAUUACGUUUUUAUACUUAAAUUAAAAUAGUAGAUCUUUAGUCUCUCAUUACCGUAGGAGAAAAAUCGGAUUAUUUGGCAUAACUUAUGUCGAAGAGAUUACAAAUAGGGUAUCAUCUAGAAGAAAUCGAAGAAAAUAUAAAUAUUUUAAACGAAAAAAUGAUGGUAAAAAUGUAAUUCAAAAAAAAUUCUAAAAAUGUAUAAUUUAAAAUAUAAAUUAAAACAAUAUCCGCGCAUAUGUGCGGGUUCUCUCCUAGUAUUAAUAAAAAUUGAAGCUAGAUGCUUCUAAAGGUGUCCAUAUAAGAUUUAAGAAAUCAAUUUAAUGGUCUACAACAACAUUCAAAAAUAAAGAAAUUUUACAAAUUGUAAUAUUAUUGCUGAAAAAAAAAUUAUGAAGAUAUCCACAUAGGAUUUAAAAAAAUCAAUUUUAUUGGUCAUCAUCAAUAUUCAAAAUUAAAAAAAAAUUACAAAUUGUAAUAUUAUUGCUGAAAAAAGAAAUUAAGAAAGUUUAUUGGUCCAAUAAUUUUUUUUUAUUGUUCUACCUCAACAUUGAAAAUUGAAAAAUAUUUGUAUACAUUUUUUAUUAGUCCACCUCAACAUUGUAAAUUGAAAAAUUUCCAAAUUCUAUUAUUGUUUUUAAAAUUAUUAAAAGUAAAGAAAUUAUAUAUAAAAUUGAUAUUAAUAAUAAAUUAAAAUAAAUAAUAUUAAAAUAGAAAUUUUUAAUUUAAAUUAGUUAUAUACACACAUAUUUAGAGACUCUUACAUUAGCAUCCAAUUUUUUUGUCACAUAAUUAUAAUAAUUUUUAAGUUUUUUUUUUUAUCUGUGUGUGCAACCAUGUAAAAUAAACAAAAACAAAAUAUAGAGUAAGGUUUCACUAAAAUAUGAGUCAUUACAACGUAAAAGAACUAACUUGACUAAACUAUAUGUUUAACUAUUAACUAAAUUAAAAAGAAUACAAUGAAAGUAGAUAUAAACGAAACCACUACUAGAAAAAACUUGACUAAACUAUAUGUUUAGUUAUUAGCUAAAUUAUAAAAAAUAUAAUGAAAGGAGAUAUAAACAAAAGCACUACAAACCACUUUAAUAUUGAAAAAGAAACCGUAAAAUCUCCAAAGCUUGGCCACUAAAUUUGAAAAGAAUAAUAAAUUUCAAGCAAUCCGAGAAACAUGUUAAAUGAUUGAUACUCGACACUUUUGAAAAACCAAGCACUGAAAAUAGAGAAAAGAACAUAGCAGAGAAGACUAAGGUAUCUGAGGAAAUUUUUUGAAAUAACAUAGCAUCUGAAUGGGUUUUAACAACCCAACCUGCACCACAAAAGUAACAAUUAGCUGAUCAAGCGGCAUCUGAAAACAUUCGAUAAGCCUUAAAACAAAGAGGAGAGGCUAAAAUCACUUGCCGCAAUGGGUCUCGUGUGAGAUUUUCCAGUUUUAAUUUCUAAAUCUAUUACUAAUAAUAGUUAAAGCUAUAUGCCUCUAAAAAUAUCCAUAUAUAAUUUAAAAGUUCAAUUCUAUUGGUCCACAUCAAUAUUUAAAAUUAAGAAAAUUUGUAAAUUUUUAAAUUAUAUUGUUAACAAACAAAUAUAUUUAAAGAAAAAUAAAAGUUGAAGCUAUAUGCCUCUAACAAUUAGCUGACCAAGCAGCAUCUGAAAACAUUCAAUAAGCCUUAAAACAAAGAGGAGAGGCUAAAAUCACGUGCCGUAAUGGGCUUCGUAUGAGAUUUUCUAGUUUUAAUUUGUAAAUCUAUUACUAAUAAAAGUUAAAGCUAUAUGCCUCUAUAAAUGUCCAUAUAUGAUUUAAAAAUUUAAUUCUAUUGGUCCACAUCAAUAUUUAAAAUUAAGAAAAUUUGUAAAUUUUUUAAUUAUAUUGUUAACAAACAAAUAUAUUUAAACAAAAAUAAAAGUUGAAGCUAUAUGCCUCUAAGGACAUCCACAUAAGAUUUAAAAGGUCAAUUUUAUUAUUUCACAUCAAUAACUAAAAUUAUUUUUUUUUUCUAAUAAUGAAAUUACAUUAUUAAUACAAAAUAAUAUAAGAAAAAUUAUUAAUUAAAAUUAUUCUAUUAUUAAUGACAGUUAAAACUAUAUUAUUUUCAAGGCAUCCACAUCAGCAUUUAAAAAUUUAUUUUUAUUCUUAUAUAUUAAAAUUAUAAAUUAAAAAAGUUUCAUAAUUCUAAUAUUAUGGUUAAAAAAAUAUAUUAAUAAAUAAAACAAUCUCUAUUAACCAAAAAAACCAACAUGAUGUUAAAAUCUUCAUUAUCACUGUUUAAAUCACAAAUUUAAUUUAUUAUCUAUAAAAAAAUAUAUGCUACUUAUACAAGUUUAAGUUACUUGAUUUUAAAGCUUUUCAUGUAGAAUUUUAAAUAACUAAUAUUUAUGAUUUAUAUUCAUCUAAUUGUUUUUAUGCAAAACAUAUCAUCGAAAUGAGAAAAAUGAAAAAUGAUAAAUUUGAGAAAAAUGAUAAACGAGAAACAUGUCAUGUGAUUGAUACUUGACACUAUUGAAAAACGAAGCACUGAAAAUAGAGAAAGAGGUUAUGUCAUUAAGACGAAGAAGACUACGAUAUCCAAUGAAGAUUUUGGAAAUAACAUGACAUCUGAUGGAGUUUUAAUAACAUGAUUUUAACCACAAAUGUAACAAUUAGCUGACCAAACAGCAUCCGAAUACAUUUGAUAAACCUCAAAACAAGGAAGAAAGACCAAUAUCACGACAUUUUUGACAAAUCACUAAAAAUAGAGAAAGAGAUUACUUAGAUGGUGUCCACAUAUGAUUUUAAAAGACAAUUUUAUUGGUCCACAUCAACAUUCAAAAUCAAGAAAGUUUACAAAUUCUAAUAUUAUUGCUGAAUAAAGAAAUUCUAUAAUUUUUUUUAUUGGUUCACCUCAACAUUGAAAAUUAAAAAAUUAAAAAAUAUUAUUAUUGUUUUUAAAAAUUAUUUAAGAUAAAUAAAUUAUAUAUAAAAAAUUAUUAAUAAUAAAAAACUAAAAUAAAAAAUUUUAAAAUAGAAAAUUUUAAAUUUAAAUUAGAUGUGUACACACAUAUUUAGAGACUCUUACAUUAGCAUCCAAAUUUUGUCAUAUAACUAUUAUAAAUUUUAAGUUUUUUUUUUCUGUGUGUGCAACCAUUUCAAAUUAAAAAAAAAAUAGAGUUAAGUUUCACUAAAAAUGAGUCAUUACUACGUAAAAUAACCAACUUGACUAAACUAUAAGUUUAGUUAUUAGCUAAUUUAAAAAGAAUAUAAUAAAAAGAGAUAUAAUCAAAGCCAAUACAAGCUGAUUUAAUAUUAAAAAAGAAACCAUAAAAUCUUCAAAGCUUGGCCACUAAAUUUGAGAAAUGAUAAAUUCCAAGCAAUCCAAGAAACAUGUCAAGUAAUUGAUACUCGACAUUUUUGAAAAACGAAGCACUGAAAAUAGAGAAAAAUAUUCUAUCAUUAAGAUGAAGGAGAUUGGUGUAUCUGAGGAAAUUUUUGAAAUAAUAUGGCAUAUGAUGGGUUUUAAAAACGCAACUUGAACCACAAAGGUAACAGUUAGCUGAUCAAGCAGCAUCGGAAUACAUUUCGUAAGCCUCAAAACAAGGAGGAGAUAUCAAAAUCACUUGCCGCAAUGUCUCUUGUGUGAGAUCUUCCAGCUUUGAUUUCUAAAUAUAUUACUAAUAAAAGUUAAACCUAUAUGCCUCUAAGAAUGUCCACAUAUGAUUUAAAAAUUCAAUUCUAUUGGUCCACAUCAAUAUCUAAAAUUAAGUAAAUCUCCAAAAUUAAAAUUAUAUUGUUAACAAAAAAUAUAUUUAUUAAAAAAUAAAAGUUGAAGCUAUAUGCCUUUAAGGACAUCCACAUAUGAUUUAAAGGGUCAAUUUUAUUAGUCUACAUCAAUAACUAAAAUUAAAAAUGUCUAAAUUAUAAAAUUACAUUGUUAAUACAAAACUAUAAAUGAAAAAUUAUUAAUUAAUAUUAUUCUAUUAUUAAUAACAAUUAAAGCUAUAUUAUUUUCACGGCAUCCAGAUCAGCAUUUAAAAAUUUAAUUUUAUUUGUAUAUAUCAAAACAGUAAAUUAAAAAAAGUUUCUUAAUUCUAAUAUUAUGGUUAAGAAAAUAAAUUAAAAAUAAAGAAAUCUCUAUUAACAAAAAAAAAACAACAUGAUAUUAAAAUCUUCAUUAUAAUUGUUUAAAUUAGAAAUUUAAUUUAUUAUCUAUAAAAAAUAUAUGCUUCUUAUACAAGUUUAAAUUACUUGAUUUCAAAGCUUUUCACAAAGAAUUUUAAAUAACUAAUUAUUAUGAUUUAUAUUCAUCUAAAUUUUUCACCUAUGAAAAACAUAUUUCUACAUAAUCUCAUGUAAUAUAUUAUGUAAAAAUGAUCGAAAAAAUUAUAUUUUGUAUAUUCGAUUUGGAAUUACUACAGAUUAAUGUAGAAGUUCUUAGUUUUGAGUUGUUCAAUUUGUUAUUUUAUUUUUUAAAAUUUGUAUGUAUUAAAAUUAUACUGGUUUUUGCCUACUUAAUUAUAAUUAGAAGAAGUAAGAAUGCAUGUGAUGAAACUGAUUAUAAUCAUACAAAAAUUAAUAAAAUAAAUAAAUAAGAUAUAUCCAUUUAAAAAAUAUAUAUAACAAGAAGAAAAGUGAACAUGAUGAAAAAAUAUUUCAUUCUUAUUAGAAGAGAUAAUGUAUAAUCAUUGAAAAAUUAUUUAAAAUUUAAAAAAACCAAUUAACAAAAAUAUAUUUACUUCACAAAUUUUGUGUGAUUUUAUUUAUUUUAUACUCAAAUAUUGUUUUAGCUUCAAAUUUAAAGUUGUUGUUAAUCUCAAAGCAAAUUUUUUAUUUAUUAGUUAUAUUUUAAAUAAAUAUAUUAAAAUAAAAAUUUGUAUUGGUUAAACAAGAGAAGAAAAAGAUUAAAUUUUAAAAUGUUAAAUUAUAUAGAUUCAAAACAAAACCGUUAAAACCUCAUUUACAUAAAAAAUAUUAGAUGAACACUAUUAUAUUUUUAAUAUAUUAUUAAAACACUAAAAUAUAAAAUUUAUAUCUCUAUAAAUAUAAUUGAUUGCAUAUAAUUUUUAUCUCUAGAGCUUUAUUGCAUUAAGUCAGUGAUAAGCUUUAGAGCUUUAUUGCAUUAAGUCAGUGAUCAGUGAUGUGAUUUGGAAUUCAUGGGUUUCCAUCAAGAGGUGAUUAGUUUAAAGGGAUCCUCCAAACCAACUUAGUAAUUUGGGGAAAGAAAUUGAAACUAUUAUCCGUCAUGAUAUUGGUACCUGAACUGGCAAGAGGCUAGACUGCUUGUUAAACCGACAACAUGUUCAGCGACCUCAGCCUCGUCUACACAGUGUCUGGAAUGUACUCUAACAUAUUGAGUAGUUAAUUUUGCAAGUAACUGUAUAAUAAACAUCAAAAUACCACAAGAGUAAGUACGUUUAAGAAGUCAAACAAAAGAGCAACAAAGAUGUUUUUUUUUUUCAAAUAACAUGCUCAUAAGGUACUACAGUAUCUCAUCGAUAUGAGGCCGUCUCCAGUUUCCCGGUUUCUUGUACUCUUCCUUUUCCCUAAAAUCGGUUUUUCAGUUUCAGGAUGGAACACUGAAUCAAUACAAAUUUGCUUUAUCAAACUUCCCUUUUCUUUACGUAGGACAUUAACUUAUUGGUGAGGCCGCACACCGUAUAAGAUGGGUAUUGGUCCUGAACUCUUGAGAUGUUUUCUAGAAGCCUUUCAUUAGCAACAAGAUUACAAAACUCUUCAGCCUCAUACACAAGUAAGACAUAAGGAAUCUUAGGCCCUUGGGGAAAAGCCUGCAUCAAAGUAAAGAAGAUGCAAAUUACAGUAAAAUAAGACACUAGUGAUGAUUCGUAUAGUUUUAAUCUAGUAAUGAUCUUCCCAAGGCCCUUCAACUCAUAGCAAAAGGGAUUCAUUUCUAAUAUUUCAUAAUAUUUAACUCAGUUCAAUGCCAGGUGUUAUGAAGUAAUACUUUAUCGAUCUCUAUCUAAUAAACAAUUAUCUCAUUCUGAAAGAUGGAAGUUGAAAAAAACUUUUGAAGGAAACGUAUCAGUUGAAAAUCCAAAGCGACUGAAAAAAACUUUUUGAAGGAAACGUAUUACUUAUUGUCACUUUCAACUUCAACUUCAUCUUCAUUCUUUGCCAUGUGGCCGGUGGCCCAUAAAAAAACACUAAGCUCUUGUUCUUUUUUUUUUUGGUGAAGUCCUUAUUGUCACUUUCAAACCAUACGUGUCUGCACUCUUGAGCCCAAACAAAUUUUAGUACAUCAAGAAAUCCACAUGCUUCUGCUUGUAUUGGUGAGAACUGAGAACUGAGAACUGAUUUCAAUUUUUCAUUUUAACUAAUGUUAUUGUUGGGACUUUCACAAACGGAUGUUCUAUUGGUCUUAAAAACUAGCUUUUAGUAUUUGUCAAUUUUCCUUUUUAAUCGUUUGGAAAAAUUAUCCAUUACAAACUAUGAGAAUGAUUUUUACGAACGACAAUUCUACCUGUUUAUAAAGAUCUACGAUUAACGGUUUUGCCUGACACCAUUGUGAUAGAGCCUUUAACCUUGAUAUGAUAGAUCAUGAUGAAAGCCCUCCUUGUACCAAAAAUUUCAGAGUAGACUCAUUUUUCUAUUUUACCUUUAUCAUUUUAAUUAUUUUAAAGAGAAAAAAUAAGUAGAAAAAUUAAUAAAAAUAAGGAUCGAGUUGUAAUUCUAAAUAAUUAGACCAUUAUUAUCGCAGGAUUUAGGAUGGUUUUUUAGUCCAAAAAAAAAAAAAAUUAUUGAUUAAAGCUCAAAUUUAUUAGGAAACGAUUCUUAUUUGGGACCAUCAAGGAUCGAUUCUUAUAGAACGCCUGUCAGUUACAGAUUGGCUUGACAAUCUCUUGGACAAAAAAUUUUAGUCUCGACCAUUUUUGGUCGACCAAAUUUCUGCUGUCUCGACCAUUUUUCUCUAAUUUCUCGUUCUCUCCGCCGACCAAAUCAUCACCGCCACGAUUCAUCCUUAUCUCCCACGCUAUCUCCUGCACGAUGCCCGCCUCCUCCGGGUCGAUUCUUCUCCUUUCGAAAUCAUCGUAUCUCCGUGACCAAAUCAUCAUUCUUCUCCUUUUGAUAAUCAAGCAUUGAAUUUGUCGAAAUUUUGAUUUAUUGAUUAUAUCGAAGUAUACGCAGCUUUCUAAAUGUGUUGGCGUUCUCGAAGAUUUUGAAGAAGUAUGAUAAGGUAGGAUUUGGUUUGAACAGAAACUUUUUGAUUUUAGAGUUUUGAAAGAGUAUGUUCUCACGACUGAAAGGUGUUCAACAAAAUUACAUUCACAGAUAACUUGGAGAAAAUCUUCCAAGCCUUACAUAAAAAUGGUUGAUAGUUCGUACCUCGGAAGCUCUGAUGAUGUGAGCUUGACUAGUUCUUUCUUAAAUUCGAUCUAAAUUAGAUAAUUACCUUCAUUGAUUAUUACUCUGUUUUGAUCCUUGCAUUGAUCUUCUCUUGCUUCUUUUAUGUCACAGCUUAUGAAACUGAUACAGCGUGUUUAAGCUACAUUCAUAAAGCAUUUCGCAAAUGGUAACAGAAGAAAAGGAAUGAACAUCUUGAGAUUACAUCUUGGAAUCUUUCAAAAGGAAAGCUACAAAGAUUACAUGAUCACUAUGUUCCCUCUUUAUAGGUAAAACUUACUUUGCUAAUUUGAGGAUUUUAAUGUGAAACGUGAUUCUUAGACUUUUUUAUUCUUUGUCGUUGUUCUUGCAGCUUAUUUGGGUUCAAGCAAGGAACUGAACUCGGUUACAGACAAGUUCUUUUUAUGGGAUUCAGUAUUGGAGCGUUUGCGUUGCUUUGUGUUCUUGGAAACCUUGAUAUGCAAGUAGACCCCAAAACUAAAAAUUACCAAGCUUUAACCGAACUUCUUCCUCUUUUCAUCAUGUCGUAAGUGCAUAAAUCCAAAAUUGGUUUCCUUUUUAACUACCAAUGGACCAUUAAAAGCAUGAGGUUUCUAAAUAAGAGUUCUUAACCCAUAAUUAAUAAUAAAAAAUUGUUAAGAAACCCAUUAAGGGUUACAGGGAUAAUGAUGCUCUUAGAAUCAUAGGGAAGUAAAAUUUUAUUCAGUCGGAUAGUUUACAUUAUUGCCAUCACACGUUCACGGUUCACAAGAACAUGGAACAAUUCUCCAAGAGACCCACAUUCAAUUAUUGAUUCAUAGGAUCUAAGAGAGACUCAUACUGAUCUGAUCAGACCCGACCGGACCGACACCCUCACUAAGUGAAACCGGACAAUUGUUCCGUACGGCAGUGAGGUUAUAUGGCGGAAAAUCGGUCGAAAGCCAUUGCGAUACAUUGAAGUAUUGAUACAUGGAAUCAGCGUGAACUAUGGAAGUCGUGAACUCCACGUACUCAACAUACCAGAUAGGCUUGUGGCCGGAGUUAUCAGAAGUCAGAGAUAAAAAAUAAAAGCCAAAACAAAACUGGAUGGGAAAGCAGCAGUCGCACAUUGAAAAGAGGACCACCCCAUUUUACCGUAUCUCCAAAGAACUAGAGUUCUCAUCAUUGUUGACACAAUCAUCAUCUCGAAGCUAGCCUUAAAACCUCAAGAAUGAGAUACCUACAACUUCUCCAAAAACAAUCAGCAUUUCCAAAUCUGUAAUGGACUAACUAGCAACCAUCCUUUGAUAAAAUAUCUGUCCUUUCAUUUCGCUCUCUAUAAACAUGACCCAAAGAGCAAGAGGGUGCUUGGUCACCCAGUGACGAAUAUUAUAUAAAAUAUUAUCAAUAUCGAGAUUUUCUUCUCUUCGAUUAACCAUCAUAACUAACUCCUUACUGUCACUUUCAAACCAUCCGUAUCUGCACCCUUGAGCCCAAACAAAUUUUAGUACAUCAAGAAAUUCACAUGCUUAUGCUUGUAUUGGUGAGAACUGACUUCAAUUUUUCAUUUUAACUAAUGUUAUUGUUGGGACUUUUACAAAAGGAUGUUUUACUUGUCUUAAAAACUGGAUUUUCUGCCAUUUAAGAGUAUUGUCAUUUAUUCUAUUUUACCUUUAUCAUUUUAAUUAUUUCAAAGAGAAAAUGUAAGUAGAAAAAUUAAUAAAAAUAAGGAUCGAGUUGUAAUUCCAAUUAGAAUAUCAUAGGGAGUAAAAUUUUAUUCGAUUGGAUAGUUUACAUUAUUGCCAUCACACACGUUCACAGUUCACAAAAACAUAGAACAAUUCUCCAAGAGACCCACCUUCAAUUAUUGAUUCAUACGAUCUAAGAGAGAUUCAUACUGAUCUGAUCAGAUCCGACCGGACCGACACCCUCACUAAGUGAAACCGGACAAUUUUUCCGUACGGCAGUGAGGUUAUACGGCGGAAAAUCGGUCGAAAGCCAUUGCGACACAUUGAAGUAUUGAUACGUGGAAUCAGCGCGAACUUUGGAAGUCGUGAACUCCACGUACUCAACAUACCAGGCGGGCUUGUGGCCGGAGUUAUCAGAGGUCAGAGACAACGAACAUACUGGGCUUGGAAGACACCUCUCCUUACCACUGAAAAUGUCCACGUUACCGUUCUCGAAGUAGUCGUAACCUUGUCCCAUUAACCCACCCCAUGUCACUAGGUUUUUUAUCACGAUCUCUUGUCCGGCUUUGUCGGAGAUAUUAGCGCUUAUGAUCGAAUCUGUGCCGGCACCAUCCAAGGAACCGGUUUUGAGGUAGAAUGUGUAGACGCAAUCUACUUCACGAUCCUGCAAAAUGAUCAAGAAGUUUAUAGCCUAAUCUCUUAAACGUACGACUAGUGUUUUUUCUUUUUUCCCUAACAAGCAUAAACUAGUGUCGCUGUGUAAAACAAUCAUAACCUAAGGGAACUUACGGCAAAUGCAACGACAGAGACAGCGGCGAUGAGGAGGAGAGAGAGGAGGAGAACGUCACAGCGAGCCAUAGUUGGUGAUAUGAAUGUGUAAGACAUGGAGAUAUUUGAUCUGUCCAGGGUAACUAUUAAUAGAGUUUAAGACUUAAGAUUUCAUUAUAUGAGUAGCGGUAGCGUAUGAAGUUGACGUGGAAUUUUCUUGUCCGUUGUGAACUUGUGAUGAGUGAAGAGUAACAUGCUCAAUCAUGUCAUGUAGGUUACAUGAUGUAACUAUAGUUUAAUUUUUUAACUCCAUGAUGUAACUACAUAUCAUGUAUGUUACACUUACAUGAGGUAACUAUAUUUUUCAACUCCAUGAUGUAUAUCAUGUAGUUGGAGAACCGUAUGAAGUUAACGUGGCAACUUCUUGUUCGUUGUGAAUUGUGCUGAGUGAAGAGUAACAUGCUUAAUCAAAUCACGUAAAUAUUUGUUUUUACCUCGACGCAUUUCGUAUACUAGUGCAAUAAUGAAAACUAAUCAGUCCAAUUAAGUAUAUGAUGUCGACAAAAGUAGAAUGAUAUAAAAGAGCUGUUUUUUCUAUCCUCUUUUGUUUAAAGUACUAUAUACUAGUGCAAUAGUGAAGUUUGGUAUUGCUUUGUUUUAUUCUCUAUAAUAUGAAAUAAAACGUGGUGUAUUUCUACUGAAAAUGUCACCUUUCGUUGUAGUUGUAACCUGGCCCCAUUUUUUGUUUCGUUGUAAUGAGUGAAGAAUAUUUUCAAGGAUCCAAUGAGAACGUGAUUAACUCGGCGGACUGAUUACAAAACAAAUAUGGUUUGUUUCUAUAUAUUUUAUAGGCAUGAGGUGUCAGUUUACGCUCCAACAUAUGGAAUUUUUUUUUUGUUACUCACAAAUUUUAUUCGAUCGAAUCAUUUUUCCUUAUUGCUAUCAUGUUUACUAUACUACAAAGUGAAAGAAUAAUUCGCUUUCAUGAUCACUAUAAUUUAAAGUCGUCAAAGAAUAAUUUUCGAAGACAAACACAAACGCAUUCAUUACCUUCGCAUAUGAAUUUUCGUCCUCUUAUCUUGGAGCUGUAAGAAACCAUGAUUUUUACGAUAUAAUAAAACUGAAUACUAAAAAAAAUAUUGAUAUAUAGAAAACAGAAUUAAUAAUGAUUAUUUCGAUAAUAAUAAUAAUAAUUUUCAAAAAAUAUAAAUGGACAACUGCUUUUUUUUACAGCCUAAACACCUAAAACGGUUCAGUAAUCCAAACCAGAAAUACCAAAUUUACAUACAUAACAUCUUGACGUUGGACGCAAGUACUUCGUACAAGGUUGUCCGCUUUCAUAUUUUUCGUAUGUGAAACAAAAUGAAAGAGUGUAAAAAGUAAACUUUUCCUUAUUCUUCAUGUAUUCCUUUAAAUGUAAAGCAAAAACUUACCAUUCAUUUGGUUUAGAUAUUACUUUCACCAACUUAGAACAGUCGGUUGCAAAUAUUACUAUCAUCUAAUUGUUAUCAAACAUACAAUGCAUGACCUAGAUUAGAAUCUCGAGUUCUGCAUUUAAAGGGGUUAGAUUGCGUUGUAAAUUUCUUACUCCCAUUAUCAUUAUCGUGUAGAGACGCUUGAGAUCUUGUCACCCUAAGCCCAAAAAUGGACUAACAAUUUGUUUAGAGACGCUCGAGAUCUUGUCUCUUAAUUCUUUAAUUGCUUUUGUGUUUGAUACAAUCAAAAUUCAGAAUUUUAGGAAUCCAUGAGCCACACGAUUUUUUUUUUUGGUAUGCAACAUUUAACAACAGAACUAAAGAAUCCAACAAAGUAUUGUACUCACAGACUAAAACUACAGAAAAAAAAAGAAUGAUGAUCAAAUAGAAUUAUGAUCAAAUAGAUAUAAGAGAAUCCAUAAUCAAAUUUCAUAAAAAUAAGAAGAUUCAUAAAUAUUCUCCAAAUUUGUUAAAAGUGAUGAAGAGAUCUUCUCCCAAGAAUACAAUUGAAAGUUAUAAAGUUAUUUACACAAACUAAAAUUGAAAGAUUUAUAGGUCUUAGAUUGUUCUUGGUCGAAACAGAAAAAAAAAACCUAGAAAAAAUUAUGGAACAUCUAUAUAUAUUUCAAACCGGUCUAAAGAAUGUGUUUUAGACCUGGCUCCUUGUGUGCGAAUGGCAGCUAGGGCACAUGUAAGUGAUCUAGACCCAACUUCAUGACCGAUCCAGUGUUCUUCAAAGUUCAUGCUAAAUUCUUCAUCUGUUUAUGCUCUAGUUUCUAUAUAUUAUUAUUGAUUUUUUUAUAAUAAGAGAUAUUCUGAACUUUAUUAUCCGAUUAAUGUUUUAAGAUGAGUAAUAUCUUCGACUAAUUCAUUUUUCAGAUUUUCAAACAGGCCUAAAAUGUUUAGAGACGCUCGAGAUCUUGUCUCUUAAUUCUUUAAUUGCAUUUGUUGUGUUUGAUACAAUCAAAAUUCAGAAUUUUAGGAAUCCAUGAGCCACACGAUUUUUUUUUUUGGUAUGCAACAUUUAACAACAAAACUAAAGAAUCCAACAAAGUAUUGUACUCACAGACUAAAAGUACAGAAAGAGAAAAAAAAGAAUCAUGAUCAAAUAGAUAUGAGAGAAUCCAUAAUCAAAUUCCAUAAAUAAAUAAGAUGGUUCAUAAAUAUUCUCCAAAUUUGUUAAAAGUGAUGAAGAGAUCUUCUCCCAAGAAUACAAUUGAAAGUGAUAGAGUUAUUUAUACAAACUAAAAUUGAAAGUGAUAGAGUUAUUAAUACAAACUAAAAAAUAAUUAAAAAUAGGUAUUUAUAGGUCUUAAAUUGUUUUUGGUCGAAACAGAAAAAAAAAACCUAGAAAAAAUUAUGGAACAUAUGUAUAUAUUUCAAACCGGUCUAAAGAAUGUGUUUUAGACCUGGCUCCUUGUGUGCGAAUGGCAGCUAGGGCACAUAUAAGUGAUCUAGACCCGACUUCAUGACCGAUCCAGUGUUCUUCAGUGUUCAUGCUAAAUUCUUCAUCUGUUUUUUAAUUUCUAUAUAUUAUUAUCGAUUUUUUUAUAAUAAGAUAUAGUCUGAACUUUAUUAUCCGAUUAAUCUUUUAAGAUGAGUGAUAUCUUCGACUAAUUCAUUUUUCAGAUUUUCAACAGGCCUAAAAUGUGGUACCAUCUUCGACUGAUCUAAUGGAAGUGGUAUCAUUUAUUUGUUUAUGCUCUAGCUAAGUGUAUCAUUUUUUUCUUAUUUUACCAAAAAAAUGGGAGAGACUCUCAAAACUUCAAAAGAGUCAAAACGAAAUGAAAACACUUGAAACCAACUUAUGCAAUAGUUAAAGUAAGCAUAGACACCAUCUACGUCAUUGUCUUGCACCAAGAAAAUAAAUUAUUUGUUUGAACGGGAGAGAAUUAGUGGACUUCGAACCCUAAUGGUUUGAAUUAGUGGUCGUAUCCUGUCAUUAAUUACAUAGAUUCAAACCUAGUAAAAUGUAUGUCGAGUUGUAGACCAAAACAAAUAGGGACACUAUUUGUCCUCCUAUAUAUUUAGUUUAGCAUAGAAUUAGAGAAUCGAAAAAGUACCUCAUUGAUAUAAUAAUAAUAGUAUAUUUUAGUAUAGUUUAACUAUAUACUUAAGUUUUAAGCUAAAAAAAAUUGAGUCAUUCAUAAGACAACAAUUUUAUUUCGAUCGGAUCGUUUACAUUAUUUUCAAGAGGCCAAGACAAGACACACACAUUCUUUCAUUGAUUCAUUCGAUCUUAUAGGGAGUUUUACGGACCUAAGACCCGGCCCGACCGACACUCUCCCUCAGCGAAACCGGGCAGUUAUUGCGUACUGCUUCUAGAGACGUAUCGGACUCAAGCCACUGCUCCACAUUGAAGUAUUGACGUGCGCUGUUAGCGUGAAAUCCGACGGUCGUGAGCUGCACAUAGUUUACAUACCAGGCAUGGAAUAGGCCGCUGCCGUCAGAUCUCAGAGUCAAUGAACAUAUUGGGCUCGGAAGACACUUCUCAGUAGCACUAAAAAUGUCCACAUUGCCCCUCUCGUAGUAGUCGUAACCUGGUCCCAUUAACCCUCCCCAUGCUUCUAGGUUUCUUAUUACGAUCUUCUGUCCGGUUUUGUCGGAGAUUAUAGCGGUUAUGAUCGAAUCUGUGCCGGCGCCGUUUAUCGAUCCUGUUUCGAUGAAGAAUGUGUAGACGCAGUCUGGUUCUUGAUCCUGCGAUAUUAAUUAAGAAGUUUAUAACCUAAUUGCUUCGACGACAAGUGUUUUUAUUUUCCUAACAAGUAUAAACUAGUGUCGAGGUAGAAUGUGUAGACGCAAUCUACUUCACGAUCCUGCGAAAUGAUCAAAAAGUUUAUAGCCUAAUCUUUUAAACGUACGACUAGUGUUUUUUUUCUAUUUCCCUAACAAGCAUAAACUAGUGUCGCUGUGCAAAACAAUCAUAACCUACCUAAGGGUGAUGCGGAACUUACGGCA
rnacentral:lncRNA from 1 species